GACGAACGCUGGCGGCGUGCUUAACACAUGCAAGUCGAACGGUAAGGCCCUUCGGGGUACACGAGUGGCGAACGGGUGAGUAACACGUGGGUGAUCUGCCCUGCACUUCGGGAUAAGCCUGGGCAACAGGGUCUACUACCGGAUAGGACCACUGCCUGUAUGGGUGGUGGUGGCAAGCUUUUUCGGUGUGGGAUGGGUCCGCGGCCUAUCAGCUUGUUGGUGGGGUGAUGGCCUACCAAGGCGACGACGGGUAGCCGGCCUGAGAGGGGGACCAGCCACACUGGGACUGAGAUACGGCCCAGACUCCUACGGGAGGCAGCAGUGGAGAAUAUUGCACAAUGGGCGCAAGCCUGAUGCAGCGACGCCGCGUGAGGGAUGACGGCCUUCGGGUUGUAAACCUCUUUCAGCACCGACGAAGCGCAAGUGACGGUAGGUGCAGAAGAAGGACCGGCCAACUACGUGCCAGCCGCCGCAGUAA
rnacentral:rRNA from 1 species